rnacentral:lncRNA from 1 species
AAUCAUCAACUGCACAGGAUAUAAAAGCUCAACAAGCUUAAGUAACAAGUCAGUCAAGAACUGGAGGACAGAUUUCUUCAUAUGCAUGAUGAUCACAUCUUACUCAAGCAGCAUACAAAUGAGCAAGAGGAGAAAACUAAAAGCCUUCCUCGCCAUAACCCUUUUAACUAGAAGUUUGGAAUGAAUUUGCAGUGGAAGAACGUUGAAAAAGCUCCACGUAAACAAAAAACCUGCUUACAGUGUUUUCCAAAAAUAUCUUUAAAGCCAUCUCAGACUGCAUUUGUGGAAACAGGCAGAGGGCAAGUGACCUUGAGAAGUUUGGUGGUGAUAUCUAUUUUUCUUGCUUGGACUUCCAGUUUUGAAUAUGAAUGGAGCCUAAAGAACGUAAAGAACAACCAUGAUGCUUCAUUAGCAAAAGACGAUGAACUGAAUGAACAGCUUGAAGAGGAAAGAAUAAACAGUCCAGAAAAGGAGAAUGAACUCUUGAAGAAAAGCUAUGAUAAACUGUGUAAGUGCUCAGUGAUACCCCAGAUGAGCAGGAACUUGAAUGUGAAGAUACUGAUUUUGCCGAAUCUGUUUGAAAAAAGAAGCAAAGAAAUGCCACUGAACAAGACAUUGAUGGUGAGUUUUAGAGACCACUUUCUUGUAAACUUUUAUAGCUUAAAAACUAUUUGUCAAAUUUCUCUUUUUUUCUACAAGAUUUACUGUGAAAGUAGUUGUUUGACAUUGUGUCAAAAAGAAAUUCUUUAA